rnacentral:rRNA from 1 species
GACAGAAUCAAACUUGAGAGUUUGAUCCUGGCUCAGAACGAACGCUAUCGGUAUGCUUAACACAUGCAAGUCGAACGGACUAAUUGGGGCUUGCUCCAAUUAGUUAGUGGCAGACGGGUGAGUAACACGUGGGAAUCUGCCCAUCAGUACGGAAUAACUUUUAGAAAUAAAAGCUAAUACCGUAUAUUCUCUACGGAGGAAAGAUUUAUCGCUGAUGGAUGAGCCCGCGUCAGAUUAGGUAGUUGGUGAGGUAAUGGCUUACCAAGCCUACGAUCUGUAGCUGGUCUGAGAGGAUGAUCAGCCACACUGGGACUGAGACACGGCCCAGACUCCUACGGGAGGCAGCAGUGGGGAAUAUUGGACAAUGGGCGAAAGCCUGAUCCAGC